rnacentral:rRNA from 1 species
UACGUAGGGGGCAAGCGUUGUCCGGAUUUAUUGGGCGUAAAGAGCGUGUAGGCGGUCAGGUAGGUCCGUUGUGAAAACUCGAGGCUCAACCUCGAGACGCCGAUGGAAACCAUCUGACUAGAGUCCGGAGGAGGAGAGUGGAAUUCCUGGUGUAGCGGUGAAAUGCGUAGAGAUCCGGAGGAACACCGACGGCGUAGGCAGCGCCCUGGACGACACCUGACGCUGAGGCACGAAAGCUGGGGGAGCGAACAGG